rnacentral:rRNA from 1 species
UUGCUAACGCGUGAAGGCGAGCACUCUAGACGAACUGCCGUUGCAAAACGGAGGAAGGUGGGGAGUGACGUCAAAUCAUCAUGCCCCUUAUGUUCUGGGCUACACACGUGCUACAAUGGCCGGUACAGACGGACGCAAAGCCGCGAGGUGGAGCAAAUCCUAAAAAGCCGGUCUCAGUUCGGAUUGCAGGCUGCAAUUCGCCUGCAUGAAGUCGGAAUCGCUAGUAAUCGCAGGUCAGCAUACUGCGGUGAAUACGUUCCCGGGCCUU